GUAAAAGCAUUGAUUAGGAAGAGUAACUAUUUUGUAAGUCAAAAGAGAGCGGGGAGUGGUGAGAACCCGUGGCAGAGAAAUAGUGAAAAUCACCUAUGAGCUUAAGGCUGAAUUUUUAUAGUAGGUUGUUACGUAUUCCUGCGUUAAAGGAUAGGGUAUUAUUAUGUACCUAAACUUAUAUUAUUACCAUAGGUGGUAUAGCGGAGACAUUACACUUCGUCCUAUUA
rnacentral:ncRNA from 1 species